AUCACCUCCUGCCAAAUAGAAGGGGAAGAAAUGGAGGCAGUGAGAGAUUUGACUUUCUUGGGCUCCAUGAUCACUGCAGAUGGUGACAGCAGCCACAAAAUGAAAAGACGCCUGUUUCUUGGGAGAAAAGCAAUCUUAAAAAGCAGAGACACCACCUUGCCGACAAAGGUCCGUAUUGUUAAAGCUAUGGUUUUCCCAGUAGUGAUGUUCGGAAGUGAGAGCUGGACCAUAAAGAAGGCUGAUCGCCGAAGAAUGGAUGCUUUUGAAUUCUGGUGCUGGAGGAGACUCUUGAGAGUCCCAUGGACUGCAAGAAGAUCAAACGUAUCCAUUCUUAAGGAAAUCAGCCCUGAGUGCUGACUGGAAGGACGGAAGCUGAGGCUCCAAGACUUUGGCCACCUCAGGAGAAGAGAAGACUCCCUGGAAAAGACCCUGAUGUUGGGAAAGAUGGAGGGCAGAAGGAGAAGGGGACGACAGAGGACGAGAUGGUUGGAUAGUGUUCUCGAAGCUACCAGCAUGAGUUUGACCAAACUGCAGGAGGCAGUGGAAGACAGGAGUGCCUGGCGUGCUCUGGUCCAGGGGGCCACGAAGAGUCGGACAGGACUAAACGACUAGACAACACAGCAACCGUGUUUUGUGUUGUGUUGGCUCCUAGGAUGUAAGUCAUGGGCUCCACCUGCUAGCCUGCUCCCUCAAAUAUCCCUGGUAUGCUCCUUUCUGUAUAUAGGGUGCCGACAUUCUGCAUGAACUGGUUGCAUGCAAACAUGUGCAAAUGGCUUGAGAUACCUGUGAGGUCCAUCAAUGACCAUAUAGCAUCUAGUCAACACAAAAAACAGUGACAAUUUGUUGAUGACAAAGGACAGCUGGACAUAGAAAGGGCCCCAUUGCCUUCAGUAGAUCAGGGCCUCAUCAAACCUAAAUCCGGCCUGGGGUGGGGUGAGGUGGGAUGAAUUUGAAAUCUGAUCUCUCCAAGGUCCUAUUCCAGUGGUGUCCAAACUUUUUUCAAAGAGGGCCAGAUUUGAUGAAGUGAAGGGCCGUGAGGGCCGAACAAAGUUGUUGACUUUACCAGACCUUUUUUAGGGUUGAAGUUGUCAAGGUUUUUUUUUAGGAUUUUACCCCAGGAAGUAAACUUCCACAGGAGCCGGAUUAAACCGACCAGCGGGCCGGAUUAGGCCCCCAAAAUGGACUUUGGACAUGCCUGUCCUAGUCCAACCCCCUAACCACUAUGCCACACUGCCUCCUUGAAGAUUCCCUCCCCCCCCCCACUUCUUCCUUUAGGUCUGGUGAUACCUCUUGAGGCUGAGUGAAGGACGUCCUUGCGGGUAACAUUUGUUCAAGGUGCUGCCGACAGGGAAAUGUUCUGGUCUGAACCUUGAAGGAGCGUCAAGUUCAUAUAGAGAGGGGCAAAAGUGUUUGCUUGCGAAAAGGCUGGGCUGAAGUAUGAUCCCCACCCUCCUCAUGAGAUGGGAAAGGGUUGAGUAACCCUUUCAAGAGAACAUGGGCUCAGCUUUCUCAAGAUCACGGGGUAAAAAACAAGUUAUUGCCUAAUACCCUUUAGUUCAAUUUUAAAACCCGGCGACUUUUGCAGUUCCGCUCGAUUGUAAAAUACAGUGGUACCUUGGUUCACAAACUUAAUCCGUUCCACAAGUCCAUUCCAAAACCAAGGCGCACUUUCCCAUAGAAAGUAAUGCUAAGCGGAUUAAUCCGUUAAAGGCUUUUUAAAAACAACCUCUAAAAGAGCAAUUUAACAUGGAUUUUACUAUCUAACGGGACCAUUGAGCCAUAAAAUGAAAGCAAUAAACAAUGUACUGCAGUCACAAAAUCAAUCAGUCAAUCAAUUAAUCAAUCAAUCGGUAGCUGAACCGGGUUCCACACAGUCACAAAAACAAAAAAAAGCCACAAAACCGAAAACGCAAAAUGAAUAGCAAAAACAGACGGACCUCAGUGUUAACACUCAAAUUGGAAGCGUAACGCUUAAAACAGAGAACGUUCGGCUUCUGAAAAAAGUUCGCAAACCGGAACACUUACUUCCAGGUUUGCAGUGUUUGGGUUCCAUGUUGUUUGAGUACCAAGGCGUUUGAGAACCAAGGGACCACUGUAAACCAGUAAACACCUCAAAGUGGUUUACAAAACAGGAAUAGCUGUGGCUGGCAUCCGUCUGUCUCGAGAGAAAAUGGAGUGUGCCUCCGGGGGUGACGUUAAAGCGCUGUGUUAGCAUAAGGUUACCAGAUUUUUUUCCAGUGAAUCCGUGGACACAAUGAAUGAAUGAAUGAAUGAAUGAAUGAAUGUUGUUUAGUCGUGUCCGCCUCUUCGUGACCCCCUGGACCAGAGCACGCCAGGCACUCCUGUCUUCCACUGCCUCCCGCAGUUUGGUCAAACUCAUGCUGGUAGCUUCGAGAACACUGUCCCACCAUCUCGCCCUCUGCCGUCCCCUUCUCCUUGUGCCCUCCAUCUUUCCCAACAUCAGGGUCUUUUCCAGGGAGUCUUCUCUUCUCAGGAGGUGGCCAAAGUCUAUUUUUGUUGGAAAAUCUUAAGAAGAAUAAUUAAAAGAAAAAACAGAGCAGGAGGCUGGAUUAGUUGGGCCAUGUUCCAGAUUUCUCAUCUUAUGUUGUGAUGAAGCGAGCUUUUCUUAUUGAUUCUAGAAUGUAUUUUAAUUAAUUGACUGUGCAAUUUUAUGUACACUGUGAUAUUUUUACCUGUUGUUAGCCACACUGAGCCCGGCUUUGGAGGGGAGGGUGGGAUACAAAUAAAAUGUUGCUGUUGUUGUUGUUGUUGUUAGCGCCCUUUUGGGACUUUCCUUCCAGAGAUUGCAAAAACUCAGGUUCCCAUUAAGUCAGGCAAGGCAAGACUCCCUUAUCAUGUUGCAUUUCUCACAAUCAGCAAACAGCGUUGCAAGUUUCGACACGAUGUGCAGAGAAAUUGCAUGGGUAAUCCGAUCGGCGUGAAAAACUGGCCUUGCUCAUCGCUUAUUAGGAAAUGAAGACAAAUGGCCACAUCAGGACCGGUGAGGCAGCAGUUGGGGCAGGAGGGCUAGAAGGAAACCAAGCAGCUAGACCUCAUUGUCUGAGAAGGAAAUUUGUGCACAAGGGCCAGUGUUUGCUGUUAUAUGCGCAGAGAGUGGAAGAUUCACCCUGAUUUAAUAUGGAGGCAUGGUUGCUGAAAUAGCUGGGGGGAAAGCUAGCACAUUGAAAAACUAUUGCUGACAUUUAUCAAUAUUGUUAAAUGGGAGCCCCUUUUAUUUUGUUUUUGGUAUGUACUGAGUUCAAUAGUGUUAACGGAAAAAUCCGAGGGCUCCCUUGGACAAAAGCAAAGACACCAACCAGGAUAACUUGGAGCAAAACAGCAGCCUGUAGGCUUGGCCUUUAUUGAUCUGUUGCAACAGGGUGCUCCCCUCACCUGCAGGAGAGAGGAAGGACACAGAAAAAAUGGUGUGCAAGGUCUUAUAAAGACUUUUGAAAUUCCCAUCCUGUAGAUCAAGCCCACCCCCAGAAACAUCAUACAUACAUCCCAGAAAGGAGGGGUUGAGGGAGGGGUAGUGGUGGUAACCUGAGUGUCCUGUCACCUGGCUGGUUCCCCCUUUCCCCCUCCCCAUGAGUACUUUCCAGGUGACAAAGGGGAGUUUGCAGUUUCCUGCCCCCAGAGGGAAGAGCUGAUUAUUGUCCUUUGUUCCAGUCUGUGCUGAAUCCACUCCCAUAUGCAAGUUCUUUGUGACCUUGAUGGUCUUCUGUCUGGGACCAUCAGGGUUGGCAUAGCAACUGGGCAGGGCUCCUGUGGAUGUGCUGGUAUGGUCAAGGGAUUAUGGCUGCCCUGUAUCAAACCUUCCCCAUGUUGUAGUCCUUCCUUCAUGGAGUAAAAUAAAAGUGGAACAGUGCAGAUCCGAUGUA